rnacentral:tRNA from 1 species
UCCCUGGUGGCUCAGAGGUUAAAGCGUCUGCCUCCAAUGCAGGAGGCCCGGGUUCAAUCCCUGGGUCGGGAA